GUUUCACUGCAGUAGCAGCAGACGUCAGUUAUAGUGGUCACGUGGUUCGCACUCGAGAUGCCUCCAUUCACGGGCUAUAAAAGAGAGCGACUCCCUAGCUCCCAUCACGCUUCGCAAGGAGACCAUUGGCUUCUGAGAAGAAUGGCUUCAUGCAAGGUUCUACAUUUGGCCGUCUUUGCUCUUGUACUGCAGGCCAUCAUUCUGUGCUUCGGACAACCGGGAAACCUUCCACAAUCCCGGGAUGAUUCUGAUCUUCAAGAAUGUCAAUCGCAGUGUGGCUCAUACAACAAUUACACGUGCAGUGAACAAAACUGCACAUGUAUUUAUGUUGAGAACGACGCGAAUGGCACCUGCUACGACUUAAGUGAUUACGAUUAUUCGGAAAGUGCCAGUGAUACUGCCGCAUAGACGUCAACCAAAGCGGAAGACCUGUCAUGUGCUGUACCACAAUUAUACAGUUCAAAUAAAGCUACGAUUGUUGUAUAACAGAAACACUCAUUUCAGCAUGCCGACUGCGCAUGCGCACUCGUGCCGCAAUCGUUCCAUCAUUCUCGGUGUGCAUGUACGCCCGGUUACGUCCAACAUUUACCUCUUUUGUAUCACUGCUAAACAUUAUUGUUUCACAGUGGUUGACACCUUUUAUUUUUAAUCGAUGUUCUGGGAUUAUGAA